GAACAGAUUAGACGGAAAACCAUUUGAUGAUGCAGAUCAGAGGCUGUUUGAGGCAUUUGUGAUAUUCUGUGGACUGGGAAUCAAUAACACCAUUAUGUAUGACCAAGUGAAGAAGUCCUGGGCCAAACAGUCUGUCGCUUUGGAUGUGCUGUCAUAUCACGCCACUUGCUCAAAGACUGAGGUGGAUAA